rnacentral:rRNA from 1 species
GACGGAGGGGGCUAGCGUUGUUCGGAAUGACUGGGCGUAAAGGGCGCGUAGGCGGUUUUUUAAGUGAGGCGUGAAAGCCCUGGGCUUAACCCAGGAAUUGCGUUUCAGACUGGAAGACUUGAGUACGAGAGAGGUAAGUGGAAUUCCUAGUGUAGAGGUGAAAUUCGUAGAUAUUAGGAAGAACACCGGUGGCGAAGGCGGCUUACUGGCUCGUAGCUGACGCUGAGGCGCGAAAGCGUGGGGAGCAAACAGG